rnacentral:lncRNA from 1 species
GUUUCAGCUCCAGCUUGGAGCUUUCAUCAGGAAUCAUAAUGAACAAAUGGUACAUAUAUACUACACAAAAUGGUUAAUAAUAUUAUGUACUCACUACCUGCAUCUGUGGAAGUUUAUCGGCAUUAAAGGCACACGUGGCUAUGAAGCUCGAGUCUCACUACCAAUAUGUUGCAGGAGGCGGAAAGAGUGUGUUCCCCUGCGCUGCCUCAGUAACAGCUGGAACGCAUGCUGCCUUUCCAAAGCUGUAGCUUCAUCGGACCGACUGUGACGCAGCAAUAGCUUACAGCGCUCUAAUUCCCCACGGACGUAUCAGGUACUGUUUUUUGUCGGACGUACCUGAUAUGUCCAAGGUUGUGAUGGCGUUAAAGGGACACCGCAACUACCCGUAAAGGAGUACGCACCAGUUCAGACUCAAGAGCACGUUUGAUUCACACAUUCCACAACCGUCUAUUAAAACUUUCCUAAGGAAUGUACAGCAGGAAACCACUAACAUCAUAGAGACAAAACAACGUCAACGUUUCAAUAUCACCAAAAGAGAAAAAGAAAUGAUCAGGUCUUUCGCUAGUGAUAACAAUUUAGUCAUCAGACCAGCAGACAAAGGAGGGGUUAUUGUCCUCCUGAACUUCACAGAGUACAGAAAGGAGCUGCUAUCACAACUUGAGAAUACCAUCACCUAUAUAAACUUGAAGGCGGAUCCAAUUGGGGGUGGGGGGGUGAUUGAACCUGUUGCAAAGUGGCUUGACUUUUUUUUCCCCCCCAAAGACUUGCUACAGCUAUUGGAUCAAAAUGUGUUACCAGAGACUCCUAUUAUAUUGGCUACAUGCGAUGUAAAGAACCUGUAUACUGUCAUACCACACAUAGACGGUAUUGAAGCCAUGCACCAGGUAUUCAGUGAGUCCACAGUCUACAAUGGCCCUCCAAUUGAGUUCACAUUGGAGCUUUUGGAACUAGUGUUGUCUCAGAACUACUUCCGAUUUGAACAGAGUUGUUUCAGCAAAUUUCAGGGACGUCUAUGGGUACAGCGAUGACACCCAACUAUGCACAUACAUACAUGUACAUUUUUUAAAGAAAAAAUAUUUUACAACCGUAUGCAGUGAACCGGAAACACGUUUAUAAGGGUACAAAAUAGAAAAUGGGGAGGGUAACAUUGUAAAGUUGCAUUAAGUCAUUUGCAUUACAAUUCUUUCAAUAUGUGCACCUGUUUCUGACAUUCGUGUUGAUCUGUUAGAGUCUUGGAUCAAUGGUUAUACAAAAGGAUAAACGUAUUUACACAAGAAUAAACAUAUUUACAAAAUAUGGUCUGCUCUGUGUUUCACUGUAUUCCUUUUGUGACUUACUCACUACCUUUGUGCCCAUCUUGUGUCUGUUGGUAAUUACCCCUCAUGUACCCCUGGCAUAUCAGCGAGAAGUUUUUACCCUCUGGUUCCAUGUCUCUGGAUUCGUCUCUGCUAGCUAACGCCCGGCCCUGGACUCUCCUAGUGUGGUUUGUUGAGUGGGGUUGUAUCUUGUUUCAGAUCAAGGUUAGUGGGAUAUUCUCCCUGUAUGAUUGCCACAUGUUGUGAACCUGUCUGGGUGUGCCCUUUUUGCCAGUGUACUGUUGCGUAUCUCUCAUAUUCCACAUUUGUGGAAAUCAGAUCUAUCAGCUCUGCUGUGGAGGGAAUCGAUGUUGAUCUCCAAUUUCUAACGAGCAGUGUUGCCGCCGCUAUAAUUAUAAGAAACGCCAGUUUGCGAUUAGGUUUCGAGAGGUUUGGUGGCAUGAUGUGCAGUAGAUAUGUUUCUGCAGUCAGUGGGAUCUGCCUCCCCGUGCUUUUAGUGACUAGCCAGUAAGUUGAUAGUAAGUUGAAGGUGAUAGGCGCCCACCAGAUGUGUAAGGUGUCUCCCGGGGUUGCCUGACAUCUCCAGCAUUUGUUAUCUGGUGUUUUGUACAUUCUGGAGAUUUUAAAAGGUGUCAGGUACAACCUGUAUAAUAGCUUUAUUGAGAUUUCAAAGUAUGAGGCACAAGAUGAGAAGCCUCUGUACGCUUCAAAGGCCUUUCUCCACUCUUGGGGUAGUAGGUCACUCCCUAUAUCUUUGUGCCACUAUUUUUGAAAACUCCAGAGUUGUGCUUGUGGUACUUCUAUGAGUGUAGAAUAGCAAAAUGAGAGUUUUCUUCUGCUGUUGCUUGUUUAGACACCUGUGUUUGAACUGUGUCAUAUGUGCUAUCUUGCCCACUCUCUCGUCCUGUCUGUUCUCCCCCUUAAGUGUGUGGUGUAUUUGGAAAUACGAGAAUUGGGCCGUGUGUGGGAGAUGGUACUGCUUAUUCAGGUCUCGGAAGCUCCUGGUUGCUCCCUGGUGAGUUAUUUGGUAUAUUUGGGUCACAUUUUGUGGUGCCCAUAGUUUGAAGUUGAAUUAGGGGUUCAGUACGUGUAUGGUUGUCAGUGGAGUUGCAGAGGACCAUUUGGUGGGUGAGCAUACCCAGAGUCUGUUUUUGUCCCAUAGGGUAAGCAUGAGUUUGGUGGUAGUUAACAUCCUAGGGGUCUCAGCUCUUUGGGUAUCCAUAACAAAUGUGGUAAGUGUAUCCCGUUUAGACCCUGUGAUUCUAGGGUCACCCACUGAGGGGUUUGGGUCUGGGAAUGACACACAAGAACAUUGGCCAUCUGUGUGGCCCUGUAGUAUUCUCUCACAUUAGGGAGUCCUAGUCCCCUGUCUUGUACUGUACAAGACAGAAGUCUCCAUGGGACCCUUGGUUUCUUGUUUAGCCAGCUAAAUCUCAUAAAGGUCGUCUGUAGGGCCUUAAGGAACUUCAAAGGGACAGGGAUGUGUAGUGUACAGAAAAGGUACAUGAUUUUUGGCAAUAUCACCAUUUUGAUUGCUGCGCAUCUGCCCACCCAAGAUAGGCAUUUCCCUUCCCAUGCCUUUAGUGUGUUUUCUAUCUCUGUGUGUAGUUUUUGAUAGUUCAUUUUUUUUUAAUAUUCUUUAUUUUUGCUGUGCAAAGAAUAACAAAUAAGCUUACAAUGCCACAACGACAUCGACAAGCUCAGCGAUAACAAACAGUAUAACAAUUCAAUGUGGCAUACAGAUUGACAGCACAAUUUUAUGAAUAAUAGAUGAUAUGUAGCAAAGUUGUAGCUAAGUAACAAUGUCUGUCUCAUUACAAUACUUUGUUGAUUAAUAACAGUGGUUUAAGGUUAAUAAUUACGUAGAGUGUCAUUACUUUAACAUCUAGACAGUAACCUGGUUAUGCUUGACUACGCAUAAGUGCGAGGCUUACAUUUUAUAUAGUAACUGCUGGUCCAAGUAGUCAUAACAUGCAGUAGAAGAGACCGCAGGUUUGCAUUUCAGGUUAUGAUAAAGUAUACAGUGCUGACUACCGAUAAACAUGUAAUUCUAGUCAGUGGCGUACACAUGACCCAUGGGGCCCCGGUGCAAAAAUUGAUCCGUGGGCCCUCCCCGCGCGCUUACUCGGCGCGGGUCUGGGUCGCAACACAUGGUGGCGGGCACCUGGUCGCAGGGGUUGCAGGGCUGCGACCCCUGCGACCACAGUAUGCACACACACUUAAAGGACCACUACAGACACCCAGAUCACAUCAGCUCAAUGAAGUGGUCUGGGUGCCAGGUCCCUCUAGUUUUAACCCUGCAGCUGAAAACAUGUUUCACUGAGGGUUAAUCCAGCCUCUGGUGGCUGUCUCAUUGACAGCUGCUAGAGGAGCUUCCGCGAUUCUCACUGUGAAAAUCACAGUGAGAAGACACUGAACGUCCAUUGAGUAAUGCUUUCCUAUGGGCGGUUUAAAUGCGCGCGCGCGCCUCUUGCCGCGCAUGUGCAUUUCGGAGCCGAGUGGCGGACACUGGGGAGUCCGACGCUGGAGAAAGGUAAAUGCUGAAGACACACACACACACUCUCACGAACAGACGCAUACACACUAGCUAACAGACACACACAUUUACUGACAGAGACACACUCAGCGACAGACAUACAUACACACACUUACAAAACAUACACUUUCACUGACAAACAAAUACACACCCACAGUAACACACUCACUAGCAGACACACACUCAAUAACAGACACAUUCACUGACACACACACUAACACACGUAUUAACACAAACACUGACACACACACACAUACACUAACACACACACACAUACACUAACACACUGACACACACACACAUACACUAACACACACACACACAUUUUUUUUUCAAAUGUAAUCCCCCCAGCCUCCUUACCUUUUGGAGUGCUGGGGGGAUUCCCUGGUGUCCAGUGGCC